AGUCGAGCGCGAAAGUAGACUUCGGUCUGCGAGUAGAGCGGCGAACGGGUGAGUAACACGUGGAUAACCUGCCUUGGAGUGGGGGACAACUCAGGGAAACUUGAGCUAAUACCGCAUACGUUCCUACGGUUUCGAUUGUAGGAAGAAAGGCGGCUCUUCGGAGCUGUCGCUCUUAGAGGGAUCCGCGGCUGAUUAGCUAGUUGGUGGGGUAACGGCCUACCAAGGCGACGAUCAGUAGCCGGCCUGAGAGGGUGAUCGGCCACACUGGAACUGAGACACGGUCCAGACUCCUACGGGAGGCAGCAGUCGGGAAUAUUGGACAAUGGGCGAAAGCCUGAUCCAGCAACGCCGCGUGGAGGACGAAGGCCUUCGGGUUGUAAACUCCUGUCAGGUGGGACGAAAAGGUAACGGUCAAUAUCCGUUGCCUCUGACGCUACCACCAGAGGAAGCCCCGGCUAACUCCGUGCCAGCAGCCGCGGUAAUACGGAGGGGGCGAGCGUUAUUCGGAAUCAUUGGGCGUAAAGGGCGCGUAGGCGGCCUGACAAGUCAGGGGUGAAAUCCCUCGGCCUAACCGAGGAACUGCCUUUGAAACUGUCAGGCUUGAGGCCGGGAGAGGGUAGUGGAAUUCCCAGUGUAGCGGUGAAAUGCGUAGAUAUUGGGGGGAACACCAGUGGCGAAGGCGGCUACCUGGACCGGUACUGACGCUGAGGCGCGAAAGCGUGGGUAGCAAACAGGAUUAGAUACCCUGGUAGUCCACGCUGUAAACGAUGAGCACUCGGUGCUGC
rnacentral:rRNA from 1 species